UCUCAUGGAUGGACCGUAAGAUACAAAAGCGAAGACGCAGCUGCUGUGAAGAGCGCCGAGGAAGCCUUGGCGGACAUGGUUGACUGGUUUAACAAGAACCUCAAGUAAACCUAAUGAAUUAGCGGCCAUCCUUUUGUAAUAAGCCAGUGUCACUCUUCAGGAGUCAUCACGCGAGCACCCACGGUUUAUGUUAUGGUCUUAGCUAUAUAGCCUAUAGCGCAUGCAUCUUUGUCUGCCGCAGGUCUGCUGGUAUGUGUGUGAUUGCUCGUAUCGGGGUCUGCUUGUGCUGAACAUUGAACUACUGCACUCAAAUAAAAUGUGGUAUUUGCAGUUUGUGAGUUGGCACCUCCCUGGUUACUUUCUUUUUUGUUUGGUGUUGGGGAUGAAAGGACAGAUCGUUACAACCCGGUUUAUUCCUUAUUCCAAUAUAAUUUUAGAGAGAUGCGGGCUGACGCCAUGGGUCAUCCGGCUGAUCAGAUCGGCUGGGUCGGCACCCGUUUGAUCUGUCCCAGACAUCCUUAGGAUGAUUGCAAAACGGACCAUGUUGUGGGCACCCAUAGCAAGGCGCGCCAUGUUGGGGUCAUCAUGUUGUUGGCACCCAUUGCAAGGUGGGCCAUGUUGCGGUCACCUUUAGCUUGUGUGACAUUGCAUUACGUGGGGAGUCCCAAUAUAGAAGCGACAUUUUCUUGCCGACACAUGCCUGACAUGCCAAAUCAAGCCGUUGAUGCAUGGGAUGUAAGUGCAGCCGUGCAUUCGAUUUAGCAUCAUGCACAUAUCGGGUGCAUUCGGUUUAGCAUCAUGCACAUAUCGGACGAGGGAGGAUCGUUCGCACAGUAGUUUCGUGCAAUAUGGGUCAUGUUGCGGUGACCCAUUGCAACGUGGACGAUGUUGCGAACCCACUGUCCCAUCACCAUCACCACAGCCUUCCUCACCACAACAUCAUCCAUCUUGAGUUGUUGCCACCACGACAUCAUCUAUGUUGCAGGCGAUGAUCACGAAAUCCGGCGUCUAUGGUCGCAGCUCCGCUGCCCGAGGCUCGUAGCACGACCUCUGGCAACAGGGACAUGGCGAUUUUGCAGCAGCGAGAUCAAGGUCAUGGGGACAAUCUCUUCCUCACUUUUCACUAGGGUGCACAUGGACGUUGUAACAUCCAUGACGGGAUCAGGAGGUCGGAAAGUAGGGGAUUCAUGGCCGGCUCAAAGAAGGUAGGAGAAGAGGACCCCUGGUAGGAGAAAUGGGAUCGGGGGAACAUGUGGUUGUGCUCGCUUCGGUUGGCGAUAAGGUGAAACGGAUAGGGGUGUGCGGGGUCCACGGGGGCACGUGGCAACAUAGGAGGAAGCCGGCGCGUGAGAUGUUUUCCGUCGGUUGUUCCCAGCCGUUUCCCAUUUCUCUAUGGCUGGCGCCGGCGGCACUGCCCUCGCCGGUCGCUACCGCCACAUGAAGCAAAGCUACAGACGAAAUCAGUAUUGGGUCAGCAGUGAGGUCACCCGUCACCACCUGCCUGGAGCAAACAAAUGAAAGGCCCACCCGUAAAAAAACAAAAAACAAAACAAAGGAAAGGCCCAACCAAAAAAGCCUCCAACCUCUCCACGAACAGAUUCGAAACAUAAACACCCCGCAGUCACCUCCGUCGGCUCUCGGCUGGCCUGGUUCCCAACCCCAACCACCAGGCACCAGCAGCAGCCUCGGCAGGAUGGCUAGCCCGCAGUGCUGCGCGGACCCGCCGACGCUCGACCCCGCCGGCGGGGAGGGCAGGGUCGUCGACAGCUUCGGCGGGAUCACGGCGUACGUCGCCGGCGCCCGAGAGUCCAAGGCCGCUGUCAUCCUCGUCUCCGAUAUCUUCGGUAAACCCCGUCCUUGACAGGAACCCUUGUCUUCUCAUAACCCGAAUUCUCUUAUGUCAUAACAGCGCUUCGCGUCUUCCCCUUGCAGGGUUUGAAGCACCGAAUCUGAGGUACACACUUUUGUGCUCUCUGACAUUACGACUCUGUUUUGCACCUACUCCCUCCUCCGUUUCUAAAUAUAAAUCUUUGUAGAAAUUCCUCUGUGAACUACGUACAUACGGAGCGAAAUGAGUGAAUCUACACUCUAAAAUGCAUCUAUAUACAUCCGUAUGUGAUCCGUAGUGAAAUCUCUACAAAGACUUAUGUUUAGGAACGGGGGCAGUACAUCUUUUGGUUUAGCAACGACAUGUCUGUAGGCUCUGUUCAUCACGCCGUAAUAGUGAGUUGUGAUGGUAUUGCUUUCCCACUGCCGUUUUUGUGUCAUGCAUAUUGUUCAGAACUUGGCAAUUUUAGUCCUCGGAGGCCUUCGUCUAAUAAGGAGUAAUUCUUGGUGAGAUUUUAUGGCUGAGAUUUUGGCCUGGCUAUUAAACCUUGAAGAGCUCUUAGUGGACUUUUUGUUUUAUGAUGAACUAUGACCUCUACUUUAGUUUGUCACAACCAACAAGUGUUAGCUAUGAUGGAGUUCUGAUGUAGUUUCUUUCCCCAUGAAGGAAGAUAACCGAUAAAGUUGCUUCGUCUGGAUAUUUUGUUGUGGUGCCAGAUUUCUUACAUGGGGAUCCAUAUGUACCUGAAAACGCUGACAGGCCGAUACAAGUGUGGUUAAAAGAACAUGCUCCGGUUUGUUGUCUCCUGAUUCCCGCAAACCUUGUUCCUUUUAUUUUCUUGUAAAUGUUCAGGUCACCUUUGCUUUAGUUUAUGUUUAUUAAGGUAUAUGUUCCAAAAGCUUUCCAGUUUCCAUCGCAUGAGGUUGCUGGCCUUGGUACUUUGAUUCACACACUGUUAACUAAGUAACCAAGGGUGAGAAGUGAUGGUAAAACCAAUAUCCAAACCUAACAACAUGUAUAUGAAAGCAUGCUAUGAAUUUGUAAGAAUAUAUGUAGGCCCCUGUGUAGCUGUUGCCUGAGGGUGAAGACACACUUAUUUUUUUUAAAUGGAGUUGAUUUGCACUUCUGAAGUUAGUUCUCUGACAAGUAUUUCCGGACAGAGGGAGUAUAAACGAAUGAAUUGUUCCUUUAUACAGGGAAAAGCAUUUGAAGAGGCAAAACCUGUUAUUGCUGCUCUAAAAGAACAAGGAGUAUCUACUGUUGGGGCUGCAGGUUAUUGUUGGGGUGGUAAGCACAGUUUUGUUUUAUUACAUCUGAACCCAAAUUAUAAGGUUUAACCUGCUAAGCAUUAUGCUUCUUUUCCUUACAUAUCAGCAAAGGGAGUUGCAGAGUUAGCGAAAGCUAAUGAGAUACAGGCAGCUGUUAUGUCACACCCUUCUUUUGUUACUGUUGACGAUAUCGAAGGUAAGAUAUCUUCCUCGAGAAUUCAAGAUACAUACUUAACAUUGUUCCAUUUGAAAGGCUUCAGAUUCUUACUCUAUGACAUGUGCUAUAUUUCAGAGGUGAAAUGCCCCAUCGCUAUACUUGGAGCUGAAACUGACAAAACAUCCCCACCAGAAUUGGUCAAGCAGUUCGAGCAGGUUCUAUCCUCUUCUAACUCUGGGGUAAGUUCUCAUUUCGGGCAACCAGUUCUUCAAAUCAACUAUGAUGUUGUCUAGGUAUGGAAUAUGUGAUAUAACUAAGUUGUCAAAUUUGAAAAUGGCUCAGUGCCAAGCUGUAUCUGAUUAGUAUACUGUUUGACUGUUCCAGCAUAAUGUGUUGCUACUUCCUCCCAUUCUAAUUAGCUUUUGACAUCAGAGGAGCGGACAAUCAUCUUUUCUUUUAAAUAAGGGCCAACUAGCCUUAUGCAAUAUUUUACUCCCUCCGUUCCAAAUUACUCGUCGUGGUUUUAGUUCAAAUUUGUACUAAAACCACGACGAGUAAUUUGGAACGGAGGGAGUACUUUAUGAGUCACUGGACCUACCAGCAUUUUAUAGUACUAGCUAUUAUCCAUGUGAAUGACUAGUUUCUUCGAAGUAAGAAGGUAUUAUCUUUAUAUUCACCCGAAAGUGUAGUAUCAUGAAGAAUUAGGAAAUACUCCCUCCGUUCCGAAUUACUUGUCGCAGGUAUGGAUGUAUCUAGAUGUAUUUUAGUUCUAGAUACAUUCAUUUCUGCGACGAGUAAUUUGGAACAGAGGGAGUAGAUGUUACAGAUUGAGAAAAAGCAACCAGAAAGUACAGUAGAAUGUAGGCAAAUUGGAGACACACAUUAUUGGUACGAUAUUGUUGCAGAACUGGAGCUCAAAAUCUUUCAUCCGUCCUCAUCCUGAUAUGGUCUUUUAUGAACCUACAGAUUGCUCACUUUGUCAAGAUUUUCCCUGGGGUUUCUCAUGGAUGGACUGUGAGAUACAAAAGUGAAGACGCAGGUGCUGUGAAGAGUGCCGAGGAAGCCCUGUCAGACAUGAUCGACUGGUUUAACAAGAACCUAAAGUGAACCUGAAUUAGCGUCCUUUUUUCUUAAUAGGCCAGUGUCACUCUUCACCAGUCAUCACGCAAUCAUCCAGGGUUUAUGUUAUGGUCCGCAUCGUUGGUCGUCUGCAGGUGUCUGUCCUGUGCAGUAUGUACUGUGUGCUUGCUCAUAUCAGUCUCUGCUUGUGCUGAACACAUUACUAUAAUACUAUAGCACUGAAAUAAAAUGCGAUAUUUGUAGUUUUGAGAGUUGGACCACUUGUCUCGUUGUCUUUAUGUAACUUGUGUGGUGAUUGUUGUUGGCUCUGCCCACUCCAAAGCUGUGGGCCGCUGCCCACUGCCGUCAUCUCCAACACCUCCGGUAAGACGACUGGUCGAGUUAACUGGCCAAUCUCCAACACCUGCAGCGUUCCAGACUCUAGUGCCUAUAAAGUAUGUAUACCGAGAACCAUUUUAUCUUUGCAGCGUUCGAUGUGCCGAAACUGAGAUACACUGUGAAUUUAUCUUCUCGUGAGAGUUACCAUUCUGAAAUGGUUGCAUUUGCAUGUUAUUUCCUUUGCAUCUCCUUCAACAUGGAGCAGUUACUUAAUUUUGUCAAUGGUGUAGCAAUAGCUUAACACUGAUAAAGCCGACGAGUCUGCAUGUAGAAACGGUGACCAUCCUGACAGCCAUACAGCCACGUAGUAGAUGGUGUUGAUGAAACAUAUUUCUUAUGAGAAGGAAAGGGAGCUGGAAUUACAGAAUGGUAAUCUGUGUUUGUAGUCUGUUUGUAGUUUUCAGUUCAGAUUUGGCUCCCCUUGUCUGCUUCAAACCUUCAUAUUUGUUUAACAUAAUAGGACAUUUGCAUUUGCUUGCAUACAUAUCAGCAAAAGAAUGGAAUGCAUAAGUAAAUUUUCAACAUGAUGAAGAAAUGCUGAGCUCAUUAAUCUCAAUGCUGGAAAAUUAGAUCGGCAAUGGUCUAGAACUGUGCUUCUAUGCUCUUUUCUCUUUAUGGAAGUUUAUUUAUCUUAAGCUAGCGCUAUCCUCAUGGGAUUGCCAGUAAUGCUAAAUGUCUAUCUGAUGGAGGAAGAUAGCGGACAAGGUUGCUUUGUCUGGUUACUUUGAUAUAUAGUGCUAGAUUCCCUGCAUGGGGAUUCAUACCAGCUCAACAGUCCUAACAAUCCUGGAAUGUGGGUACAGGCACAUAGUUCAUUUUUUGUUUCUUGAGAUUAUCCUUUUUUAUUUAAGUUUCCUGGGUAACUUUUUUCUGUUUUUUCUGAAGUUUUUUGUGGAAAUCUAUACAGCUUUCAUGUCACAGUCUUCCUAGCCUAACUAAGUACUCUGUUUCAAACAUUGACAUCAGUCAACUCUAUAGAAAUUAUUGAAAAAACUUCUGAUCCAGACCUGAAAAAUGGCAUAAUGAGCAUUUUUUUUACAAUAACUGCAUGAGAUGACAUUCUAAUCUUUCGGUAGUUCAAUAUUUCUGUUCAGUACCUGACAAUAUUAGUAAUAACGCUAUGUACCUUAGGAGCUUCUACACUUGGCAUUUCAGAUACGUAAGCAACUGCUAUUGUGCACCUGAAAGUUAGUUUGUUUUUUAAAGGAAGAAGGUACAUAUACUCUUUAACUUGUACUCGUAUUUACCAAUUCUCUUUGUCUGAUAGCACGCCGUCGUUGACUACUCCAUCACCCAGGUGUGCAAGGGGAGAAAAAGAGGUGCACAAGAGCAGCCUUGGUCCGGGUCAAAACAGUUUUCCUUUUGAUAAUUAUCUGUUGGUGUAUGAUCGACCACUUGAUAAGCAGCAGCAAUUUUUCCUUUUAACAGCAGGUGGAUCUGAAGGCAAAACUAAUUAAGCCCUGUUUUUCUGUUUAUUUUUUUACUUGGGCAUGGGGCAACCAAAUAAGAUCGGUAGAUGACUGUUACGGUUGGUGAAGAUGGCACUCAAAUCUUACCUACCGUUCUACAUCGUCAAGAUUCCCUGCCCCUGCUGUCAGUUCCUCCUGGUACCUGCAUUUUCAAGAUGUUCCUAUAAUUAUCUGCUCUGCUCUGGGUAUGGUUGAUCUACUCAUCUAAUUAAGCUCGGCAUGGAUUGCCUGGCAUAUCAUUUGUUGAAACAUACUAGAUGACCCGUUGCGUCGAUGGCGCAAAGGGCAAGUGCACACCAAGCAUUCAAACCAUGCACAUAAGAAUAUUUACACACCAAGUCAAUUCAUGUCAGUGGCGAACUAGUUGACGGUGGCCGCGACGCCGAGUCCGAUGGCGGCGUGGCAAACUUGUUGCUUGCGACACACGAGAAGGACGAAGGAUGCUCGAACUGCCCUGGUGUGAAGCUGCAUCUGACCCGAAUGUUGUCUGGUUGUUCCGGCAUUACAUCUUUCUAUUUCCUUCCAUCUUAUAUUAUGGGACGGAGGGAGUACAUAAUUUGCCUUUUGAUGUUAGAGCGGUCCAGUAUACUAUUAUGGUUGUAAUACAUCAGACAUUUUGCAAUUAAGAGCCAUCCAGCCUUCACGGCUUUUACUUUAUGAUCCCCUGGGCAACCUUAGGGCCUGCUUGGAUCCAAGGGACUAUUUUUAGUCUGACUAAAAAUAGUCUCUUUUAGAGGCUAAAGUUCCAAGCACCCCUGACUAAAGAGAGGCUAGAACUAGUCUUGAGGCUAAAACUUUUUAGUCACAUGAAACCUACUAAAAUAUGUAUUAGCCCUCUCUCUCCUCAUUUAAUUCCUCUUCUUUAGCACAUGCGAGUUCUGGAUUGGAUGGUUUGGAGGAUAAUAAAUGCUCAAUAACUUCAUUUUAGUCUCUUUAGUAUUUGGAUCCAAGCAUGGGUGAGGCUAGCAAGUUUUAGUCCCACUACUUUUAGUCAUGGGACUAAAACGUAUCCAAGCACCCUCUUAGCAUUUUAUAGUCACAAGCUAGUGUUAUUAUCCAUCUUUGCAUCUUGUUUCUUGAAAGUAAGAAGGUAUUCUAUCUAAUAUUCACUAGUGAAGACAACAUGCCAGGGCCUUCACGUUGGGGAAGGAAAGAAACAGCCCCCGCGUCGUCCCCCCGGCGGGCGACUCGGGCGGCGGCGCGGCUUCCCUCCUCCUCUUCCCCUCCCCACCCUCCCCCGCCCUCGCCGCCGCCCGCAGCCGCUGGGGCAAAGCCCCUCGCGGUGGCUGGCGGCGGGGCCCCUUUCUCCGCCGCGCGGGGUUGGCCGGUGCGGGGCGGCUUGGUCUGGUGGUGGCGCCGGGCAUUCGUGGGGCUCGGUGGUGCGGCGGUGGNNNNNNNNNNNNNNNNNNNNNNNNNNNNNNNNNNNNNNNNNNNNNNNNNNNNNNNNNNNNNNNNNNNNNNNNNNNNNNNNNNNNNNNNNNNNNNNNNNNNNNNNNNNNNNNNNNNNNNNNNNNNNNNNNNNNNNNNNNNNNNNNNNNNNNNNNNNNNNNNNNNNNNNNNNNNNNNNNNNNNNNNNNNNNNNNNNNNNNNNNNNNNNNNNNNNNNNNNNNNNNNNNNNNNNNNNNNNNNNNNNNNNNNNNNNNNNNNNNNNNNNNNNNNNNNNNNNNNNNNNNNNNNNNNNNNNNNNNNNNNNNNNNNNNNNNNNNNNNNNNNNNNNNNNNNNNNNNNNNNNNNNNNNNNNNNNNNNNNNNNNNNNNNNNNNNNNNNNNNNNNNNNNNNNNNNNNNNNNNNNNNNNNNNNNNNNNNNNNNNNNNNNNNNNNGGCUGCGUGCCCGUGGUGGCGGCGGUGGUUCGGAUCUGGCCACGGGCUGCUGCGGGCAGAUCUGGUGGAUCCCUUCUCUACGUGCUCUGGCUCGGCCUCCCUCUCCUCUCGGUCGGGGUCGGAGGUGGGUGGAGCUGGUGGAGGUGGGGGCGUGCCGGCCGGAUCUGACGCGACAUUUUCGAUAGACGGCGCGGGUUGGGGCAGCGGCCGGGCGUGGCUGUAGCUCCGGCCGUGGGCGGCGGCGCGAGGAGGUCCGGGGGUGGUGGCCUCCCGGUGGCGCGGCGGCUACACGGUGGCCGGCGGCUCUGGCCGCGGCGUCGGCUCGUCUGCAGUCAGGUCGUUUCGACCUUUGCUUCACCUCCUCGUUGUCCGGGCUCUGCUUGCAUCGAAAGGCUGGCCCGCUCCCAGCUAUCGACCAUCGCUCGUCUCACGCCCGGUGCCGCGGGACCGAGCUCGUCUUGCGCCUGGCGGCAAUAUCGAGCUCGUCUCGCGCCCGGUGCCGCGGGACCGAGCUCGUCUUGCGCCCGGCGGCAAGAUCGAGCUCGUCUCGCGCCCGGUGCUGCAGGACAGGCGAUGGUGGCCUGUAGUGGCCGGCCUAUUGGGUCUCGACGCUGGGGUCGCUCAGGGGUGUGAAAGGCCGGACCUUUCCACUCAUCUCUUUGGUUGAGUAGCGAUGAGUCUCGGGUGAGGUGGUGUCUUGGUCUUGGAUGCCGGGGCAGUGGCCUUGGUGGUGGUAGCGCGGUGCUCAUGGGCAGAGCCCGUGGCUUGGUGCUGUCCGGCUGCCAUGGCCGUGUGGGCGACGUGGUGGCCGGGGUGUGGCGUUCGGUGGCGGUGAGUGUUGGCCGGGGUGAAAACCUGUUCUAUCCUCGGACGGACCGGCGAUGGCGAAGCUCGUUCCCUUCUUGAAGGCGUCGUCGCGGCUCUCAUUGCCCGUUGUGUUGCUCCAGGGGAAACUCUGACCCUCUGGUCGGGUGGCGGCGGCGUCGCUCCAGUGUCGUAUCCUUUCUGAAGGCGCCGCCUUGGAGUUCACGGUUCGUCGUAUGCGGCUUCAUCUCUUCGUAGAUAGGGGUGGUGUUGUUGCGCUCAGCGCCUAUGUAUCUUGCCUUGGGUGUGUGCGUGUGUGGUGGCGUGAGUUUGUACCAUUGUGUUGAUGAUCUUUGCUUUAUGUAUAAAGUGAGGCGAAAGCCUUUUUCGGUAAUAUUCACUAGUAUUAUAAGUAUCGUGAUAAAUAAAAGGAAAAAGGUGUAAUAAUCUCUGAAUUUUUUCACAAAGUACAGUAGAAUGUGCAUAAAUUGGAGACACAUUAUUGUUUGAGAACUGGAGCUCAAGAUCUUCCAUCCUGAAUUCCUGAUAUGAUUUCUUAUGGACCUACAGAUUGCUCACUUUGUCAAGAUCUUCCCUGGGGUUUCUCAUGGAUGGACCGUGAGAUACAAAAGCGAAGACGCAGCUGCUGUGAAGAGCGCCGAGGAAGCCCUGGCGGACAUGGUUGACUGGUUUAACAAGAACCUCAAGUAAACCUAAUGAAUUAGCGGCCAUCCUUUUGUAAUAAGCCAGUGUCACUCUUCAGGAGUCAUCACGCGAGCACCCACGGUUUAUGUUAUGGUCUUAGCUAUAUAGCCUAUAGCGCAUGCAUCUUUGUCUGCCGCAGGUCUGCUGGUAUGUGUGUGAUUGCUCGUAUCGGGGUCUGCUUGUGCUGAACAUUGAACUACUGCACUCAAAUAAAAUGUGGUAUUUGCAGUUUGUGAGCUGGCACCUCCCUGGUUACUUUCUUUUUUGUUUGGUGUUGGGGAUGAAAGGACAGAUCGUUACAACCCGGUUUAUUCCUUACUAGAAAAAGUGCCCGUGCGUUUCAACGGG
rnacentral:lncRNA from 1 species